rnacentral:rRNA from 1 species
AUUGAGCGCUGGCGGCAUGCUUUACACAUGCAAGUCGAACGGUAACAGGCCUUCGGGUGCUGACGAGUGGCGAACGGGUGAGUAAUGCAUCGGAACGUACCCAGAGGUGGGGGAUAACGCAGCGAAAGCUGUGCUAAUACCGCAUGUGAUCUGAGGAUGAAAGCGGGGGACCGAGCAGCAAUGUUUGGCCUCGCGCCUUUGGAGCGGCCGAUGUCGGAUUAGCUAGUUGGUGGGGUAAAGGCCUACCAAGGCGACGAUCCGUAGCUGGUCUGAGAGGACGACCAGCCACACUGGGACUGAGACACGGCCCAGACUCCUACGGGAGGCAGCAGUGGGGAAUUUUGGACAAUGGGCGCAAGCCUGAUCCAGCAAUGCCGCGUGCGGGAAGAAGGCCUUCGGGUUGUAAACCGCUUUUGGCAGGAACGAAACGGUGUCCGCUAAUAACGGGCGCUAAUGACGGUACCUGCAGAAUAAGCACCGGCUAACUACGUG